rnacentral:lncRNA from 1 species
GAGGAGGGGCACUGGGCUGGGGAUUUUGGGUGUAGCUGAUGUUGAGGUUUCUCUAAGUUUAGGGCCUCAGUGCUCUCAGCCUGUGCUACCAUGCCUUGUGACCGUGAUCAGCGGCUGGCCUGCUCUGAGCCAGUCCCCAGGAAGGAGGGGUGAGAUUCACCAGCCUGGCUGAUGUAAGGACUUCCCUUCCAGUCCUCUGUGAAGUUGCAGCUGCUCUGCAGCCAGGUAUUAAUGAGCUGCUGGGACAGGGGAAUGAUGAUCCAGGCUAGGGGUGAGGGGCUGGUGAAUAGGGUACUGGCACCCUCUGAAGGUCUCCUUUCUCCAUAGUAUGAGAAGAUCCUGAAGCUCACAGCUGAUGCCAAGUUUGAGUCAGGCGAUGUGAAGGCCACAGUAGCAGUGCUGAGUUUCAUCCUCUCCAGUGCAGCCAAGCACAGUGUCGAUGGCGGAUCCUUGGCCAGUGAACUGCAGCAGCUGGGGCUGUCCCAAGAGCACACGGCCGGCCCGUACCACUUUUAUGAGGAGAAGCAAAGCCCCUUGCAGAAGCACUUGUGUGUCUGCAGCCUACGCAGCAAGUGUGAGGCCAGCCAGGGUCCAGGCUCCUUCUAGAAGGUGCACGCAGCACACAAGUGCAUGGAGAGUCCAAGGAGACAACUUAACCAUGGUCACAUACCAAGCAGCUGCAGAGCUGGGACCUGGCCCUGGCUCUCCUGACUCCGCGGGCUGUGUGAUGUGUAUGUACAGGAUCAGACCUUGCCCUUUCCUCCUGGCUGACUCUUCCCUAGUCCCCUGUGCCCCAUGUGUGAGCACCCAGCUCUCUCUUAUUCCUCCCUCUCCGAAGUGUGGUCCCUGGGAGCACGAGUGGGAGAAGGGGCAGCAGAGACUGUGGACCCCUCAGCUGCACCUAAGACCUCUGUGUGGUCUAGCUGUGUGUGCUGGGGGAGGCUUUUGGCCACCAUUUCCCGCUCUGUAAAUGAGACCGAUACCUGUGGCAUGGAGGGCGGGAGGCCGGUGUGAGUGCCAAGCACUUGGAGCAGGGCCCUGAGUGAACAUGGACUUGGAAACGGGUGUUCCUUGAUUUUAUGCACCUUGGGAAUGGGAGUGGGGCUCCCUGCAUGGGUUGAUAAGGCAUUGCUUUCCCCCACUCCACCUCUUUCCCAGCCCUGCAAGUCCAGUCCUCAGGGGUCCAGGAGGAAAGAAGCCCCUGGCUGUGUGACUUCGGGCUGGUGCCUGGCCCUCUCUGGCUCUGAGUUCCUGGGAACGUCAGCACCCAAGGCACGCCCUCAAGUUUAGCACCUUGACAAGAAGGGCAGGGACACUGGGAUCAGGCCCACCCCCCUGGCCCCACACCCCAUGGCCCCAACUGGAGGAUGAGGAGAUGCUGGGCUUGGAUGGGGGAAUCAGGGGUGGAAAGGGACCUGCUCACCCC